rnacentral:lncRNA from 1 species
AUCAUCCAAUAAAGAUUUUGAGUAACAUUAUGAUGAUGAGGAGGAUCUUUUCUUCCUUUAGAUAUUAUUGAUGAACAAUAGAAAGAACUCUUAUACUCAACAAAACAAAACAAUGAGUAACCAUAAGAUGGAUAUUCUACUUGAUCAUAACUCUUCUUGACUAAUUGACAUCUUUCUUCAUCAAAUUGUGCUUGUAACACACAAAUUGUGCUUUGUACUUCAUAUUUUAUAUCUGAGUAACUAAGAAUAUUGCUUUUAAUGUUUUAUGUUGUUAUUAGAAUCAAAAUUUUCUGUUUUUAAUAAUAACAUUCUUUAUUACUUGGUAAUCUCCAUUUAAAAGAUAAUUAUAUUAUUUAUUAUAAUAUUUAGAUUAAAAUAAGAUACAUAAAUUAUAGAUUAAUAAUACAUUAUAAUAUAUCAAUAUGAAAAUAAUAUUAUAUUAUAAUA